rnacentral:rRNA from 1 species
AUGGAAACGUCUGCUAAUACCGGAUGUGCCGUAAGGUAAAAGGCUUGCUCGCCUGAAGAUGAGCUCGCGUCUGAUUAGCUAGUUGGUGGGGUAAGAGCUUACCAAGGCGACGAUCAGUAGCUGGUCUGAGAGGAUGAUCAGCCACACUGGAACUGAGACACGGUCCAGACUCCUACGGGAGGCAGCAGUGGGGAAUUUUCCGCAAUGGGCGAAAGCCUGACGGAGCAAUACCGCGUGAGGGAGGAAGGCUCUUGGGUUGUAAACCUCUUUUCUCAAGGAAGAAGAUUGACGGUACUUGAGGAAUAAGCAUCGGCUAACUCCGUGCCAGCAGCCGCGUUAUUACGGAGGAGGCAAGCGUUAUCCGGAAUGAUUGGGCGUAACGCGUCCGCAGGUGGUUAUGCAAGUCUAUUGUUAAAGAGUCAUGCUUAACAUGAUAAGGGCAGUAGAAACUGCAAAACUAGAGUGCGUUCGGGGCAGAGGGAAUUCCUGGUGUAGCGGUGAAAUGCGUAGAGAUCAGGAAGAACACCGGUGGCGAAAGCGCUCUGCUAGGCCGCAACUGA